rnacentral:rRNA from 1 species
CCGCAUAAGCGCACAGUACCACAUGGUACAGUGUGAAAAACUCCGGUGGUAUGAGAUGGACCCGCGUCUGAUUAGCUUGUUGGCGGGGUAACGGCCCACCAAGGCGACGAUCAGUAGCCGACCUGAGAGGGUGACCGGCCACAUUGGGACUGAGACACGGCCCAGACUCCUACGGGAGGCAGCAGUGGGGAAUAUUGCACAAUGGAGGAAACUCUGAUGCAGCGACGCCGCGUGAGUGAAGAAGUAGUUCGCUAUGUAAAGCUCUAUCAGCAGGGAAGAUAGUGACGGUACCUGACUAAGAAGCUCCGGCUAAAUACGUGCCAGCAGCCGCGGUAAUACGUAUGGAGCAAGCGUUAUCCGGAUUUACUGGGUGUAAAGGGAGUGUAGGUGGCCAGGCAAGUCAGAAGUGAAAGCCCGGGGCUCAACCCCGGGACUGCUUUUGAAACUGCAGGGCUAGAGUGCAGGAGGGGCAAGUGGAAUUCCUAGUGUAGCGGUGAAAUGCGUAGAUAUUAGGAGGAACACCAGUGGCGGAGGCGGCUUGCUGGACUGUAACUGACACUGAGGCUCGAAAGCGUGGGGAGCAAACAGGAUUAGAUACCCUGGUAGUCCACGCCGU